UAAUAUUUCGUUAAAAACUUUGGCGUGAUUCUGCUAGACUUGAAGACGUAAAUGAGGUGCCAUAUUACACAGCGUGUUAUCAACACCAUUGAAAUGAACUCUGUUUAAGUCAUGCUAUCCGCUGGGCAAUUGACCAUUUGAUUUGCGUCAAAAUUCUUUCAUUGAUAAAGUUGCGUUUAACCUUGUAAAGCUGAUGUCAAGUGAUGAAGGGAGAAGAGGAAGUUCAGGCGUUUUCGUUUCUACAUUUUUGGCACGGCUUAACACAUCCGGGCUUAAAAGAUGAUACUGCGAAAAGGGCAAAGAAAGAAGUGCAAAACAGUUCCAUAGAAAGGUCAUCUGCCACUAGAAAUAGGCCGUUGCAAGCAUGCUGUUGCAACCCCGAAAGGUCAAAAAACCUCCAGUGUUUGACGUUAAAGCUGUAUAUUAGAAGCAGCAUACAAGAAACGCCAUUAUUCACUUCAGAAAUAAAUAUUUUGAUAGGACAGCAAAGCAAGGAACAUGACGAUCGGUAGCAUAUUAGUUUGAUAUUACAGCGGGUUUACCGGCAAUUUUUGACUUUAACAAUCCUGAAAUAUUGGUAAAUAUAUAUAUAUAACUUAACUGGACCCAAAUGACUUUUUUUAAAGAAAAUGGGUUAUUUGUAUGACCUUCCUUUAAUAACGACUGAGGCUCUCGGUGUUUGUCUAAAACGAAUACAUAAUUCAUAACGUUUUUUUUUUAAUUAGGCCAUAAAAUAUAUAGCAAAUAAGCGAGGGAAUGGAUGGGUGAGCACUGACCCUUGUCCGUGCAACGAAGCUAAACGUAAAUAAAAUACAGUAUAACAUA